ACAGAGACUGCAAGCGUUAUUCGGAUUCACUGGGCGUAAAGGGUGCGCAGGCGGCCCUGUGUGUGAGGCGUGAAAGCCUGGAGCUUAACUCCAGAAUUGCACCUCAAACUACAGGGCUAGAGCAUUGGAGAGGGUAGCAGAAUUCAUGGUGUAGCAGUGAAAUGCGUAGAUAUCAUGAGGAACACCCGUGGCGAAGGCGACCUUCUAUCUCGGAUCUGACACUGAGGCGCGAAAGCCAGGGGAGCAAACGGGA
rnacentral:rRNA from 1 species